GUCGCUAAUUAAUUAACGGACUUUGAUAAAACCCCACCGGUGCAGUGUACGCACACAUAUAUAUAUAUGUAUAUAUACACGGCGCAGCGUACAGCGUUGUUCGGCCGUCGCGUUAAAAACUUUUUUUUUUUUCACGGCCCGGCGGUAAUUAGAACUGUUCGUGAUGGGAUUCGCGGGCGGGGUCGGACGAGCGCGGGCGGAGCGCGACCG